rnacentral:rRNA from 1 species
AUACGUAGGGGGCGAGCGUUGUCCGGAAUUAUUGGGCGUAAAGGGUUCGCAGGCGGUCUGAUAAGUCAGAUGUGAAAGGCAAUGGCUCAACCAUUGUAAGCAUUUGAAACUGUCAGACUUGAGUUAAGGAGAGGAAAGUGGAAUUCCUAGUGUAGCGGUGAAAUGCGUAGAUAUUAGGAGGAAUAUCAGUGGCGAAGGCGACUUUCUGGACUUAUACUGACGCUGAGGAACGAAAGCGUGGGGAGCAAACAGGAUUAGAUACCCUGGUAGUCCACGCCGUAAACGAUGAGUGCUAGGUGUUGGGGGUCAAACCUCGGUGCCGCAGCUAACGCAUUAAGCACUCCGCCUGGGGAGUACGUACGCAAGUAUGAAACUCAAAGGAAUUGACGGGG